GUGUUUUAUGAAAGGAGAGAAGGUUAGCAGUAGCCCUGAUAAAGAUGGAAGAGGCACUCAGGCCUGACAGCAUGCAUACAGUUAGGCAUUGCCACCUACUUCAUGGCAUCUAACCAUCGUUUUCC